CAGAACUAUUAUCACAAUCGCACAGAAAGUGGGAUAAGGGAAUCCAGAGGGCUUAGCUUUGUCAGGUUUGGCCAAGAGUAAAAAUCUUGGAGAAUAAGUGGUGGGAAAGACUGGGGCCAGCCGCCGCGGUAACACCAGCGCCACGAGGGGGGAUCCUGAUUAUUUGGCCUAAAGCGUCCGUAGCUGGUUUAGUAAAUCUCUUGUGAAAUCGUUGGGCUCAACCCAACGGCGUGCAGGGGAGACUGCUAGACUAGGGACCGGGGGGGGUCAGAGGUAUGCCGGGGGGAGCGGUAAAAUGCUAUAAUCCCUAGUAGACCACCUGUGGGGAAGGCGUCUGACCAGAACGGGUCCGACAGUGAGGGACGAAAGCAAGGGAAGCAAACCGGAUUAGAUACCCGAGUAGCCCUGGUUGUAAACGCUGCGAGCUAGGUGUGGCACAUCCUCCGCGAAUGUGCAGUGCCAAAGCGAAGGUGUUAAGCUCCCCGCCUGGGAAGUAUGGUCGCAAGACUGAAACUUAAGGGAAUUGGGGGGGGAAAGGGCAAAUUCGCGCCCGCUAAAUUCAAUUCGCCCUAUAGUGAGUCGAUUUACAAUCCAUGGGCGGUCGUUUUUCCCC
rnacentral:rRNA from 1 species